rnacentral:rRNA from 1 species
UACGUAGGGUGCGAGCGCUGUCCGGAAUUAUUGGGCGUAAAGAGCUCGUAGGCGGUUUGUUGCGUCGGCUGUGAAAUCCCGAGGCUCAACCUCGGGUCUGCAGUCGAUACGAGCAAACUAGAGUGUUGCAGGGGAGACUGGAAUUCCUGGUGUAGCGGUGAAAUGCGCAGAUAUCAGGAGGAACACCGGUGGCGAAGGCGGGUCUCUGGGCAACAACUGACGCUGAGGAGCGAAAGCUAGGGGAGCGAACAGG